CACGUAGGGGCCAAGCGUUGUCCGGAUUUAUUGGGCGUAAAGAGCUCGUAGGCGGCUCGGUAAGUCAGGUGUGAAACCUCCAGGCUCAACCUGGAGACGCCACCUGAUACUGCUGUGGCUAGAGUCCGGUAGGGGAGCGUGGAAUUCCUGGUGUAGCGGUGAAAUGCGCAGAUAUCAGGAGGAACACCAGCGGCGAAGGCGGCGCUCUGGGCCGGAACUGACGCUGAGGCACGAAAGCGUGGGGAGCAAACAGG
rnacentral:rRNA from 1 species